GCGAACGCUGGCGGCAGGCUUAACACAUGCAAGUCGAGCGGGCCCUUCGGGGUCAGCGGCAGACGGGUGAGUAACACGUGGGAACGUACCCUUUGGUUCGGAAUAACGCUGGGAAACUAGCGCUAAUACCGGAUACGCCCUUUUGGGGAAAGGCUUGCUGCCGAAGGAUCGGCCCGCGUCUGAUUAGCUAGUUGGUGGGGUAAUGGCCUACCAAGGCGACGAUCAGUAGCUGGUCUGAGAGGAUGAUCAGCCACACUGGGACUGAGACACGGCCCAGACUCCUACGGGAAGCAGCAGUGGGGAAUAUUGGACAAUGGGCGCAAGCCUGAUCCAGCCAUGCCGCGUGAGUGAUGAAGGCCUUAGGGUUGUAAAGCUCUUUUGUCCGGGACGAUAAUGACGGUACCGGAAGAAUAAGCCCCGGCUAACUUCGUG
rnacentral:rRNA from 1 species